GACGAACGCUGGCGGCGUGCUUAAUACAUGCAAGUCAACUGAGCAUAAGGUAGCAAUAUCUUAUGUGCGGUGGCGCACGGGUGAGUAACACGUAGGUAAUCUGCCUUUAGGUCUGACAUAAUCCCGCGAAAGCGGUACUAAAAUCAGAUGAUGCAGCGGCUCGACAUCGAGACAGUUGUUAAGCCUUCGGGGCCUGAAGAUGAGCCUGCGUCUGAUUAGGUAGUUGGCGGAGUAAAAGCCCACCAAGCCUGCGAUCAGUAGCUGGUCUGAGAGGAUGAUCAGCCACACUGGAACUGAGACACGGUCCAGACUCCUACGGGAGGCAGCAGUAAGGAAUAUUGCUCAAUGGCCGAAAGGCUGAAGCAGCAACGCCGCGUGGAGGAUGAAA
rnacentral:rRNA from 1 species